rnacentral:rRNA from 1 species
UGGUAAUGCCGGAUGCUCCAUCACACUGCAUGGUGUGUUGGGAAAGCCUUUGCGGCAUGGGAUGGGGUCGCGUCCUAUCAGCUUGAUGGCGGGGUAACGGCCCACCAUGGCUUCGACGGGUAGCCGGCCUGAGAGGGCGACCGGCCACAUUGGGACUGAGAUACGGCCCAGACUCCUACGGGAGGCAGCAGUGGGGAAUAUUGCACAAUGGGCGCAAGCCUGAUGCAGCGACGCCGCGUGAGGGAUGGAGGCCUUCGGGUUGUAAACCUCUUUUGUUAGGGAGCAAGGCAUUUUGUGUUGAGUGUACCUUUCGAAUAAGCACCGGCUAACUACGUGCCAGCAGCCGCGGUAAUACGUAGGGUGCAAGCGUUAUCCGGAAUUAUUGGGCGUAAAGGGCUCGUAGGCGGUUCGUCGCGUCCGGUGUGAAAGUCCAUCGCUUAACGGUGGAUCCGCGCCGGGUACGGGCGGGCUUGAGUGCGGUAGGGGAGACUGGAAUUCCCGGUGUAACGGUGGAAUGUGUAGAUAUCGGG